GACGAACCGUGCGAACGUUGUUCGGAUUCACUGGGCUUAAAGGGCGCGUAGGCGGGCACGCAAGUCGGGGGUGAAAUCUUUCAGCUUAACUGGAAAAUAGCCUUCGAUACUGCCGGACUAGAGUUCGGAAGAGGCGAGUGGAAUUCCCGGUGUAGCGGUGAAAUGCGCAGAUAUCGGGAGGAACACCAAUGGCGAAGGCAGCUCGCUGGGACGUUACUGACGCUGAGACGCGAAAGCGUGGGGAGCAAACAGG
rnacentral:rRNA from 1 species